UUUGUUGAACGGUAUGAAGGUGCACCAAGGAAUAAGGUCGAGAAGGAGUUCUAAGCCGAUUUCAAGUCAUUAUCUGAAAUGGUACUUUGUGCAACAGAAUUUGAAAUGGAGAAGCAGUUUCAAUUAGUCUACACAAUUUCAAAAUUCAGAGAGGUUGAGAUUGAGUUCACGAGGAAGGUUUAUUGUGACAUCAUAUCUACUGCUGAGAGAUGUUUGGGGACGACGCAUGAGGUACGGGAGGUUGUUACUUUUGAGGGUUGUUGGAGGAAAAAAAUUCUUCGUCUCAUUUCAGAAAGAGAAAUGUGAUAUUAUUUUCAUUUAUCACUUAUUCGAGUUUCGAGGAAUAAUAUGUGGACAUGUGAUCGCAGUAUGAUCCGCAAUGAUGUGACAUGGCUGUCGAAGAAGUAUAUACUGUGGACAUGGAGGAGAGACGUUAAUAGAGCGCACACGAGGGUCGCAGUGAACUAUGAUGGCUUAGUUACCACUUCUGACAGUUGAGAUACGAUAAUAUGUGCCAAGCUUUUGGACAGAUGGCUGACCUUGCUGCAGAUGAUGAACGGUGGUCACGCUCGAUAAUGGAUUGGAUAAAAAAUCAAUGUUGCCUACUUAUUAGUGCAAAGUCAAGUAGCGGUAGUAAUCAAGUUUUGCCGCAUGCUUUUCAAGUGCCCAGUCAUUGUACUUAUUUACAAAAUACAUCGAGCGUGAGCAUACUGGAUCCAAAAUCUACUCGCAGAAAGGGCGUGUCGAAGAAACUUUGGAGGAAAAGCCCAUUGGAUUCAACUUAGAAGAAAUCGAAGCGAAGAGAACUAAAUUGAAGCAGAGUAAUAUGCAAAAGGGCACAAACAACUUUGAGCCGGCUCAACAACUACCUUAUUUCACGUCAUCACAAUUCCCACUUUCACAAUAUGCCAUCCCUACACAAUUUUCUCUUUCACAAUAAUUACCGUCUUCAUAUUUCAUCCCUUCGUCCUUGACAAAUGUUAUAUACAAUUUGCAAGGUCGAGCGAUGACAUACUGGAAUUAAAACUUACCGGAUUAAGAUGGCUUUGGCUUGUGAAGUUGGACGUGCAUCCAGUAAUGUUCAAUUAACACUCACAGCAAGUAUCAUCUCUGUGUUGUCAUGACAGAUUAAAUAUCAUUCAUACUAUUGAAUUAUUGUUGGGUUUAUUGAUGUUACAUUUGUUGGUCUACAUGAUUGAGUUAACCAAUACUUAUCAAAUUAAUCCCAUAGCAACUGGUCCAUUGUUUUGUAGCUAUGGAGGCCUUCGUUAACUUGGCAAAGCAUAAAGCAAGUAACGAUGACGUACUCGAAUUAAAACUUACCGGACUAAGAAGGCUUUGGCUUGUGAAGUUGGACGUGCAUCCAGUAAUGUUCAAUUAACACUGACAGCAACUAUGGAGGCCUUCGUUAACUUGGCAAAGCAUAAAGCAAGUCCUAAACCAAGCGAUUUAUUGCUAGAAUUGGAAGCAAUACAUAUUUGCCUAUUUUUUGUCAUUGUUGCUGGACCAAAUAUUGUAUGGAUGAUGGUGCUUCAAUUUUGUUUUUUCUGUGUCAAGGACAUCUGCUUUUUGUUAUGAAUAGGUCUCUAAAGAUGUAGUCCUAUUUUUUUGAUUAGAAGGUAAUUUGUAAAUUACAUGUAGUAGACUUGCCUCCAUAUUUCUUUACAUUAUAUAUGAAAAUAGAGAAUG